GAUAUGCUUUGGGGAGCUGUAAGUAAGCUUUGAUCCAGAGAUUUCCGAAUGGGGAAACCCAGCAUGAGUUAUGUCAUGUUAUCGAUAUGUGAAUACAUAGCAUAUCAGAAGGCACACCCGGAGAACUGAAACAUCUUAGUACCCGGAGGAAGAGAAAGAAAAUUCGAUUCCCUUAGUAGCGGCGAGCGAAACGGGAAGAGCCCAAACCAACAAGCUUGCUUGUUGGGGUUGUAGGACACUCUAUACGGAGUUACAAAGGACGACAUUAGACGAAUCAUCUGGAAAGAUGAAUCAAAGAAGGUAAUAAUCCUGUAGUCGAAAAUGUUGUCUCUCUUGAGUGGAUCCUGAGUACGACGGAGCACGUGAAAUUCCGUCGGAAUCUGGGAGGACCAUCUCCUAAGGCUAAAUACUCUCUAGUGACCGAUAGUGAACCAGUACCGUGAGGGAAAGGUGAAAAGCACCCCGGAAGGGGAGUGAAAUAGAACCUGAAACCGUGUGCUUACAAGUAGUCAGAGCCCGUUAAUGGGUGAUGGCGUGCCUUUUGUAGAAUGAACCGGCGAGUUACGAUUUGAUGCAAGGUUAAGCAGUAAAUGUGGAGCCGUAGCGAAAGCGAGUCUGAAUAGGGCGUUUAGUAUUUGGUCGUAGACCCGAAACCAGGUGAUCUACCCUUGGUCAGGUUGAAGUUCAGGUAACACUGAAUGGAGGACCGAACCGACUUACGUUGAAAAGUGAGCGGAUGAACUGAGGGUAGCGGAGAAAUUCCAAUCGAACCUGGAGAUAGCUGGUUCUCUCCGAAAUAGCUUUAGGGCUAGCCUCAAGUGAUGAUUAUUGGAGGUAGAGCACUGUUUGGACGAGGGGCCCCUCUCGGGUUACCGAAUUCAGACAAACUCCGAAUGCCAAUUAAUUUAACUUGGGAGUCAGAACAUGGGUGAUAAGGUCCGUGUUCGAAAGGGAAACAGCCCAGACCACCAGCUAAGGUCCCAAAAUAUAUGUUAAGUGGAAAAGGAUGUGGCGUUGCCCAGACAACUAGGAUGUUGGCUUAGAAGCAGCCAUCAUUUAAAGAGUGCGUAAUAGCUCACUAGUCGAGUGACACUGCGCCGAAAAUGUACCGGGGCUAAACAUAUUACCGAAGCUGUGGAUUGUCCUUUGGACAAUGGUAGGAGAGCGUUCUAAGGGCGUUGAAGCAUGAUCGUAAGGACAUGUGGAGCGCUUAGAAGUGAGAAUGCCGGUGUGAGUAGCGAAAGACGGGUGAGAAUCCCGUCCACCGAUUGACUAAGGUUUCCAGAGGAAGGCUCGUCCGCUCUGGGUUAGUCGGGUCCUAAGCUGAGGCCGACAGGCGUAGGCGAUGGAUAACAGGUUGAUAUUCCUGUACCACCUAUAAUCGUUUUAAUCGAUGGGGGGACGCAGUAGGAUAGGCGAAGCGUGCGAUUGGAUUGCACGUCUAAGCAGUAAGGCUGAGUAUUAGGCAAAUCCGGUACUCGUUAAGGCUGAGCUGUGAUGGGGAGAAGACAUUGUGUCUUCGAGUCGUUGAUUUCACACUGCCGAGAAAAGCCUCUAGAUAGAAAAUAGGUGCCCGUACCGCAAACCGACACAGGUAGUCAAGAUGAGAAUUCUAAGGUGAGCGAGCGAACUCUCGUUAAGGAACUCGGCAAAAUGACCCCGUAACUUCGGGAGAAGGGGUGCUCUUUAGGGUUAACGCCCAGAAGAGCCGCAGUGAAUAGGCCCAAGCGACUGUUUAUCAAAAACACAGGUCUCUGCUAAACCGUAAGGUGAUGUAUAGGGGCUGACGCCUGCCCGGUGCUGGAAGGUUAAGAGGAGUGGUUAGCUUCUGCGAAGCUACGAAUCGAAGCCCCAGUAAACGGCGGCCGUAACUAUAACGGUCCUAAGGUAGCGAAAUUCCUUGUCGGGUAAGUUCCGACCCGCACGAAAGGCGUAACGAUUUGGGCACUGUCUCAACGAGAGACUCGGUGAAAUCAUAGUACCUGUGAAGAUGCAGGUUACCCGCGACAGGACGGAAAGACCCCGUGGAGCUUUACUGUAGCCUGAUAUUGAAAUUCGGCACAGCUUGUACAGGAUAGGUAGGAGCCUUUGAAACGUGAGCGCUAGCUUACGUGGAGGCGCUGGUGGGAUACUACCCUAGCUGUGUUGGCUUUCUAACCCGCACCACUUAUCGUGGUGGGAGACAGUGUCAGGCGGGCAGUUUGACUGGGGCGGUCGCCUCCUAAAAGGUAACGGAGGCGCUCAAAGGUUCCCUCAGAAUGGUUGGAAAUCAUUCAUAGAGUGUAAAGGCAUAAGGGAGCUUGACUGCGAGACCUACAAGUCGAGCAGGGUCGAAAGACGGACUUAGUGAUCCGGUGGUUCCGCAUGGAAGGGCCAUCGCUCAACGGAUAAAAGCUACCCCGGGGAUAACAGGCUUAUCUCCCCCAAGAGUUCACAUCGACGGGGAGGUUUGGCACCUCGAUGUCGGCUCAUCGCAUCCUGGGGCUGUAGUCGGUCCCAAGGGUUGGGCUGUUCGCCCAUUAAAGCGGUACGCGAGCUGGGUUCAGAACGUCGUGAGACAGUUCGGUCCCUAUCCGUCGUGGGCGUAGGAAAUUUGAGAGGAGCUGUCCUUAGUACGAGAGGACCGGGAUGGACAUACCUCUGGUGUACCAGUUGUCGUGCCAACGGCAUAGCUGGGUAGCUAUGUGUGGACGGGAUAAGUGCUGAAAGCAUCUAAGCAUGAAGCCCCCCUCAAGAUGAGAUUUCCCAACUUCGGUUAUAAGAUCCCUCAAAGAUGAUGAGGUUAAUAGGUUCGAGGUGGAAGCAUGGUGACAUGUGGAGCUGACGAAUACUAAUCGAUCGAAGACUUAAUCAA
rnacentral:rRNA from 2 species